AUGGCCUCGACGGCGGCGCCGGUCGCCGGACGCCGAACUCAGUCGGUGCUCACGGACCUCCGCGACGAGCUCCUGGAGGAGAUUUUCCUCCGCCUGCCCACCCCGGCGGAGCUCGCGCGCGCCUGCACCGCGCGCGCCUCCUUCCGCCGCAUCAUCACCGAGCGCUCCUUCCUCCGCAGCUACCGCAAACGCCACCCGCCGCCGCUCCUGGGGUUCGUGGAUGACGAAGUUGGCUGUGGCUUCCACCCCGCCCAGGCGCCCCACCCCUCCGCCCCGCUCGCCCGUGCCCUCGCCGACGCAGCCGAUUUCACCUACUCCUUCGUCCCCAAACACGGCGAGGGGCACGUGUGGGUCCCGUGCGACGCCCGUGAUGGCCGUGUCCUUCUCGAAGACGGACAAAUUUGGGAGGCCUUCAGACACCUUGCCGUCUGCGAUCCAUUGUUUCGCCGCUACGCGCUGCUCCCACCCGUUCCGUGGAACCUGGCACUCCAGGAGAAAGGCACUGUACGAACCAAGUACUUACUCAUGCCCGUUGCCGAGGGUGAGGAUGAGACAUUGUUCAAGGUGAUAUGCUUGGCUAACUAUAAUACCAAGCUGGUUGCAUUUCUAUUCUCUUCCGUCACAGGAGAAUGGUGCAUAGCCGCAACUAUCAGCUGGAGCUCUUUGGGUAGCCAGAUGUGGCAACACUUCAGAGGUUGCGAAUACCGUGGCGUGUCCUGUUUUGACUGCGCGCGCGGCUCCUACUACUCGGCAUCGACUUUUAACGACAAGCUGCUUGUGUUGGACACAAGGAAAAUGGAGUUUUGCACUGUCGAUGAUCGUACUGGCUACCAUAUAAACCUCAGAUGUCUGCCUGGCCAGCACGAAGACGUUCUGGACAUCUAUGUGCCAUCCCGAUGCCGGCCUGGCCAGAGUAGAAGUCUGCCCCGCAUUGUUGUGGGUAGAGAAGGAGCCCUUGAGAUGUUUUCUCUUGUUGGUGAUCACACUCCAAAUGGCUCUUUUCAUCUCUAUCAUACCAGUCAGCAAAAUAAUGGCCAGUCUUCCAAGGAAUGGCAGCUGGAGAAUAUUAUACCGUUGCCCGGCAAGUAUGACUAUUUCACUGUGGGUGCAGCUGAGGGAUUCUUAUUCCUUGGAGCCACUACAGAAGAUCAGCUGGACAUUGUUGAAGGCGACCCUAUGAGCUUGUUGACGACUGAGUGGAAUGUAGAUUAUUUUGCAUUGGAUGUCAAGACUUCUGAACUUACUAAGGUUUGUAGGAGGAGGAGGCAAUUCUUCCAUAAAGAAGAUGUUCACUGCUACUUUGGCUUCCCCCGGUCGUUGUCAAAACCGAGUAUAUGA
rnacentral:rRNA from 1 species